rnacentral:lncRNA from 1 species
AAGCAAUGGACGUAGGGCCACACAGGGUUCCAUUCAGGUGGGCCUAGGCCACGGUCCAGAUCUCUGGGUCAUCAAGGAAGAUACCGAACUCCUCAGAAAAGACUGCCACCAGAACAUGUUCCUGUCAUGCUGGUACUAGCAUCUCCACACCACAUCCUAUUACCCCAGGCCCUGGUAAGCAUCACCGGCUCCG